CCUACGGGUGGCUGCAGUAAGGAAUAUUGGUCAAUGGACGAAAGUCUGAACCAGCCAUCCCGCGUGCAGGAUGAAGGUCCUAUGGAUUGUAAACUGCUUUUAGCAGAGAAGAAAAGCAUUCAUUUAUGAGUGUCUGACGGUAUCUGCGGAAUAAGCACCGGCUAACUCCGUGCCAGCAGCCGCGGUAAUACGGAGGGUGCAAGCGUUAUCCGGAAUCACUGGGUUUAAAGGGUGCGUAGGCGGAAUAUUAAGUCAGUGGUGAAAGCCUGUCGCUUAACGAUAGAACUGCCAUUGAUACUGAUAUUCUUGAAUUGGGUUGAGGUUAGCGGAAUGUGACAUGUAGCGGUGAAAUGCAUAGAUAUGUCAUGGAACACCAAUUGCGAAGGCAGCUAGCUGGGCCUUGAUUGACGCUGAGGCACGAAAGCGUGGGUAGCGAACAGGCUUAGAUACCCCAGUAGUC
rnacentral:rRNA from 1 species